UGUUCUGUGCCUGCGCUCUUCCUGUUUACCGGCAUUCAACAGAGGUCUGUGGUUAAAACACAGCCGUUUGGGCAUUUUAACACCGCUUGUGUUAUUUCUGUGGGGCUUUGCGUGCACUGGAGAGUCUAUUGUAAACAACCGUUACGUGCGGUCUGGCUCGUUACACUGCCUAGUCCCAGCAUUCCCGUGUGUUUACCGGUUGAGUGGGGAUAUCCAAUAUAUGCUGUUUGGCAUCUACUUCAUUUCUAUCCCGUGGAUACUGACGUCAGCUCUGCUUUCUGGUGUGGCGAACGGCUGCGUUAUUUGGAGCUGUGUGUCCGACGGCAGUGAGGCUUUCCUUCACCGUGUGCUGUGUUAUGCUGUGUGAGCACCACUGAUAAAAUCACGGGUA